GAUCCUGGCUCAGGACGAACGCUGGCGGCGCGCCUAACACAUGCAAGUCGAACGAGCGAGAGGAGGUUUACUUUCUCAAGCGAGUGGCGAACGGGUGAGUAACGCGUGAGGAACCUGCCUCAAAGAGGGGGACAACAGUUGGAAACGACUGCUAAUACCGCAUAAGCCCACGGCUCGGCAUCGAGCAGAGGGAAAAGGAGCAAUCCGCUUUGAGAUGGCCUCGCGUCCGAUUAGCUAGUUGGUGAGG
rnacentral:rRNA from 1 species